rnacentral:rRNA from 1 species
GUAGGUGGCAAGCGUUGUCCGGAAUUAUUGGGCGUAAAGCGCGCGCAGGCGGUUCUUUAAGUCUGAUGUGAAAGCCCACGGCUCAACCGUGGAGGGUCAUUGGAAACUGGAGAACUUGAGUACAGAAGAGGAAAGCGGAAUUCCACGUGUAGCGGUGAAAUGCGUAGAGAUGUGGAGGAACACCAGUGGCGAAGGCGGCUUUCUGGUCUGUAACUGACGCUGAGGCGCGAAAGCGUGGGGAGCAAACAGGAUUAGAUACCCUGGUAGUCCACGCCGUAAACGAUGAGUGCUAAGUGUUAGGGGGGUUUCCGCCCCCCUUAGUACUGCAGCUAACGCAUUAAGCACUCCGCCUGGGGAUACGGCCGCAAGGCUG